rnacentral:rRNA from 1 species
UACGUAGGGGGCAAGCGUUGUCCGGAAUCAUUGGGCGUAAAGAGCGCGUAGGCGGCCAGAUAAGUCCGGUGUGAAAGUCAAAGGCUCAACCUUUGAAUGCCGCUGGAAACUGUCUGGCUAGAGUCCGGGAGGGGCGAGUGGAAUUCCUGGUGUAGCGGUGAAAUGCGCAGAUAUCAGGAGGAACACCAAUGGCGAAGGCAGCUCGCUGGAACGGUACUGACGCUGAGGCGCGAAAGCUAGGGGAGCAAACGGG